rfam:Elusimicrobia bacterium GWA2_66_18 gwa2_scaffold_980, whole genome shotgun sequence.
UCCCGGGUGGUGUAACGGUAACACAGCGGCCUUUGAAGCCGUUAUUCCUGGUUCGAGUCCAGGCCCGGGAA